ensembl:lncRNA
UAAGUUUUUAAAGAUAUUUUAUUGUUUUAUCAUUACCAACACCGUAAAAAUAUAUGGAACAAAUAUUCCCUAAAUGGUAGUUUUUUUAGAUUUUCUUUUGUGUCUGUCUACAAAUAUUGGUCAUAGCCUCUAAUUACAAUAUUUUAAGUGACUUAUGUAGAAGAGUAGAAACCACAAAUAGCACACAUAGAAGGAAGAAAGCCUCAGUUUAUAGUAUCUAAAUUACCCAUUAAGACAAAUUGUUUAACAGACGUGUGGAGUAACAAGAAGGAUCUGUGGAGUUAAACAUCCUGUAAGCCAAAUCCUGAUUGAUUGCUACAUAGACAAUGUCAAUUCUUUAAAAACACCAGUGAGAUAAGCCAAAUCCUGAUUGAUUGCUACAUAGACAAUGUCAAUUCUUUAAAAACACCAGUGAGAUAAUUUAAGCCAGUGUUUCCCAACCACAUAAGUGUGGCGUGGAAGAUUAUCCAGUUUCACCUAAUUGGUAUUUCACAUGAGCGGCGUGUUAUGAAAGACAAAACAAUUGCAAUUUUCUUCCAAUGAACCCACUUAAUUCCAGCAAGAAGUCGUCAUGCCUCCAAGUGACUAGAAGAGAGAACAAGACGGUUGACUCUCGUUCUUGUCUCACUCGUUCUUGUGUCUCUCAUUCUUCUCUCCCUGGUUCUUCUCCAAUUUGUCCCAUCUCUUGUUUUUCGCUCUCUGGUUCUUCUCCCAUUUGUUCCAUCUCUUCUUUUUCUCUCUCUGGUUCUUCUCCCAUUUGUUCCAUCUCUUCUUUUUCUCUCUCUGGGUCUUCUCCCAUUUGUUCCAUUUCUUGUUUUUCGCUCUCUGGUUCUUCUCCAGUUUGUCCCAUCUCUUGUUUUUCUCUCUCUGGUUCUUGUCCCAUUUGUUCCAUUUCUUGUUUUUCGCUCUCUGGUUCUUCUCCCAUUUGUUCCAUCUCUUCUUUUUCUCUCUCUGGUUCUUCUCUCAUCUGUUCCAUCUCUUGUUUAUCUCUCUCUGUUUCAUCUCCCAUUUGUUCCAUCUCUUGUUUUUCUCUCUGUGGUUCUCUCAUUUGUUCCAUCUCUUCUUUUUCUCUCUCUGGUUCUUCUCCCAUUUGUUCUCUCUCUGGUUCUUCUCCCAUUUGUUCCAUCUCUUCUUUUUCUCUCUCUCGUUCUUCUCCCAUUUGUUCCAUCUCUUCUUUUUCUCUCUCUUGUUCUUGUUUCAUUUGUUUUAUCAUUUCUGUUUGUCUCUCUCGUUCUUCUCUCAUUUCUUCCAUCUCUUGUUUUGCUCUCUCUUGUUCUUCUUUCACUUGUUUUAUCAUUUGUGCUUGUCCCUCUCGUUCUCUCUCACAUUCUUGUCUCUGACGUUCUUGUCUCUCUCGUUCUUGUUUCAUUUGUUUUAUCAUUUGUGUUUGUCUCUCUCUUUCUUCUCUCAUUUCUUCCAUCUCUUGUUUUGCUCUCUCUUGUUCUUCUUUCAUUUGUUUUAUCAUUUGUGCUUGUCCCUCUCGUUCUCUCUCACAUUCUUGUCUCUCACGUUCUUGUCUCUCUCGUUCUUGUUUCAUUUGUUUUAUCAUUUGUGUUUGUCUCUCUCUUUCUUCUCUCAUUUCUUCCAUCUCUUGUUUUGAUCUCUCUUGUUCUUCUUUCACUUGUUUUAUCAUUUGUGCUUGUCCCUCUCGUUCUCUCUCACAUUCUUGUCUCUCACGUUCUUGUCUCUCUCGUUCUUGUUUCAUUUGUUUUAUCAUUUGUGUUUGUCUCUCUCUUUCUUCUCUCAUUUCUUCCAUCUCUUGUUUUGCUCUCUCUUGUUCUUCUUUCACUUGUUUUAUCAUUUGUGCUUGUCCCUCUCGUUCUCUCUCACAUUCUUGUCUCUCACGUUCUUGUCUCUCUUGUUCUUGUUUCAUUUGUUUUAUCAUUUGUGUUUGUCUCUCUCUUUCUUCUCUCAUUUCUUCCAUCUCUUGUUUUGCUCUCUCUUGUUCUUCUUUCAUUUGUUUUAUCAUUUGUGCUUGUCCCUCUCGUUCUCUCUCACAUUCUUGUCUCUCACGUUCUUGUUUCAUUUGUUUUAUCAUUUGUGUUUGUCUCUCUCUUUCUUCUCUCAUUUCUUCCAUCUCUUGUUUUGCUCUCUCUUGUUCUUCUUUCACUUGUUUUAUCAUUUGUGCUUGUCCCUCUCGUUCUCUCUCACAUUCUUGUCUCUCACGUUCUUGUCUCUCUUGUUCUUGUCUCAUUUGUUUUAUCAUUUGUGUUUGUCUCUCUCGUUCUUCUCUCAUUUCUUCCAUCUCUUGUUUUGCUCUCUCUUGUUCUUCUUUCAUUUGUUUUAUCAUUUGUGCUUGUCCCUCUCGUUCUCUCUCACAUUCUUGUCUCUCUUGUUCUUGUCUCUCUUGUUCUUGUCUCAUUUGUUUUAUCAUUUGUGUUUGUCUCUCUCGUUCUUCUCUCAUUUCUUCCAUCUCUUGUUUUGCUCUCUCUUGUUCUUCUUUCAUUUGUUUUAUCAUUUGUGCUUGUCCCUCUCGUUCUCUCUCACAUUCUUGUCUCUCACGUUCUUGUCUCUCUUGUUCUUGUUUCAUUUGUUUUAUCAUUUGUGUUUGUCUCUCUCGUUCUUCUCUCAUUUCUUCCAUCUCUUGUUUUGCUCUCUCUUGUUCUUCUUUCAUUUGUUUUAUCAUUUGUGCUUGUCCCUCUCGUUCUCUCUCACAUUCUUGUCUCUCACGUUCUUGUCUCUCUCUUUCCUGUUUCAUUUGUUUUAUCAUUUGUGUUUGUCUCUCUCUUUCUUCUCUCAUUUCUUCCAUCUCUUGUUUUGCUCUCUCUUGUUCUUCUUUCAUUUGUUUUAUCAUUUGUGCUUGUCCCUCUCGUUCUCUCUCACAUUCUUGUCUCUCACGUUCUUGUCUCUCUCUUUCUUGUUUCAUUUGUUUUAUCAUUUGUGUUUGUCUCUCUCUUUCUUCUCUCAUUUCUUCCAUCUCUUGUUUUGCUCUCUCUUGUUCUUCUUUCAUUUGUUUUAUCAUUUGUGCUUGUCCCUCUCGUUCUCUCUCACAUUCUUGUCUCUCACGUUCUUGUCUCUCUCGUUCUUGUUUCAUUUGUUUUAUCAUUUGUGUUUGUCUCUCUCUUUCUUCUCUCAUUUCUUCCAUCUCUUGUUUUGCUCUCUCUUGUUCUUCUUUCAUUUGUUUUAUCAUUUGUGCUUGUCCCUCUCGUUCUCUCUCACAUUCUUGUCUCUCACGUUCUUGUCUCUCUUGUUCUUCUUUCAUUUGUUUUAUCAUUUGUGUUUGUCUCUCUCGUUCUUCUCUCAUUUCUUCCAUCUCUUUUUUUUCUCUCUGUAUUUUUUUUUCUCUUCUUCCAUCUCUUGUUUUUUUCUCUCAUGUUCUUCUGUCAUUUGUUCUAUAACUAGUUCUAGUCCCUCUCGUUGUUCUCUCAUUUGUUCUAUCAUUUGUGUUUGGCUCACUCGUUCUUUCUCUCGUUCUCGUCUCUCUCGUUCUUGUCUCUUCCGUUCUUGUCUCUCUCGUUCUUGUCUCUCUUGUUCUUGUCUCUCUUGUUCUUCUCUCUCUUGUUCUUGUCUCUCUUGAUCUCUAUUCCUUUGUUCCAAUUCCAUCAUGUGUCUCAAUUCGUUAUAUACUCCUGUAAAAAAAAAAGAUCAGUGAUUACAAUACUUCAUAUUGUUUUUGUUUCCCGUCAUGAAUUAAGUUAAUCAUCGAACUCUCUUGUUACUGUGGCUUGUCUGACUGGUCAAAGAGCUCAUUACGGGCUCCCGCCCUUGGCCCACACACCUGUGAUCCUCCACACCCGAAGCUCGUUGGCUGACGACUUUCCAGUGACUAUUUAAGAUGGCGUCUCAGUGUUUUUCUUUGCUGGACCAUUAUAGUCUGCUAUCUUUCUGAAGCCUUCCCCCGUGUGUUCUGGAUUGUCGCGAGUUUUUCGGAGUGGACAUUGUGUGGAUUGUUCAUUGUGGGACCUGUGUGGAGCGGGCAUGGAGUGUCUUGUCUUCUUCCCCUGCCCGCAGAGGGCAGGAGAAGAAGGGAGCUCAUUAUGGGCCCCUGCCCUUGACCUACCUACACACCUGUGAUUACAGUUCACCUGGUGUUUUUGUGUCUAAUAGACUUUGUACACAGAUUUCCUGAGUCCGCGUGUGAACCCAUUCUGUCAGCCCCACAAGCUGUAUAAUGUUAUAAUAUUUAUUAAAG